GCCAGGGCAUACCGAAGUAAGAAUUUGAACUCAAUGAAUGAAAUUGCAUUAAACAAUUACUUCUUGCCUCUUGGUUAAAGAGGAGGUAAGCUUGGAGAUAGGUGCACUAUGGCUGCAUUGUAAGUUAUGAAUACAUUGGGUUAUCACACUGUUAUGUCCCAGAUUUUCUUAAACUUCAGAUGAUGGCAUGAUAUUCUUUUGUUGUUGGGAAAUGCACCAAGUUUUUUGUGUGUAAAUCUUUUAAAUGAAGGCAGCUCGAUUGUACCGAUCAUGGAAGUAUUUAGUGGUAUUUCUUAGCAACACGUAUUGGGGCACCAUACUGAUCUUCUUUAACGCAUCUAUGAUUCCUAAUUAUAUAUCCAUUUCUGUAGGGCUCAGUCUGUUUGCUGUACAAACCUCUGAAGGCACUAUUUACUGGUGACCAUGUCGCGAAAUCAGAAGAAUCAGAUCUAAACCUCUUUCUGAUGUACAGUAAGCAAUCAGUGGGUGUGCAACUGGACAGCAUCAGGAAGUUACUGGAUGUAGAUUUUGGGUGGUUUUUACCUGGGCAUGGCUACCGAAUCCGGUAUGCAGAUGUAUAUGCCAAGAAUUCAGCUAUUGAGGCUCUCCUUGCAGACUACACAAACUAAGGAGCAUCUUAUGAUCACAAAUUUCAAAUAUAUGGAUUCCAGAAUAAAGGGACGAGGUGGAUAUGCAGUCCCAGAGAAAUCCUGAUCGACGCUACUGCUUUGACUUUCUUGUCCAAACGCCAUGUACCUUAUUGUACUCCAUCCGUUUCUAAAUAUAAGGCUUUUUAGAGAUUUCAA